GAUGAACGCUGGCGGCGUGCCUAAUACAUGCGAGUCGAGCGAACGGACGAGAAGCUUGCUUCUCUGAUGUUAGCGGCGGACGGGUGAGUAACACGUGGAUAACCUACCUAUAAGACUGGGAUAACUUCGGGAAACCGGAGCUAAUACCGGAUAAUAUUUUGAACCGCAUGGUUCAAAAGUGAAAGACGGUCUUGCUGUCACUUAUAGAUGGAUCCGCGCUGCAUUAGCUAGUUGGUAAGGUAACGGCUUACCAAGGCAGCGAUGCAUAGCCGACCUGAGAGGGUGAUCGGCCACACUGGAACUGAGACACGGUCCAGACUCCUACGGGAGGCAGCAGUAGGGAAUCUUCCGCAAUGGGCGAAAGCCUGACGGAGCAACGCCGCGUGAGUGAUGAAGGUCUUCGGAUCGUAAAACUCUGUUAUUAGGGAAGAACAUAUGUGUAAGUAACUGUGCACAUCUUGACGGUACCUAAUCAGAAAGCCACGGCUAACUACGUG
rnacentral:rRNA from 1 species